rnacentral:rRNA from 1 species
UGGGGAAUCUUGCACAAUGGCCGAAAGCCUGAUGCAGCAACGCCGCGUGCGGGAAGAAGGCCCUCGGGUUGUAAACCGCUUUCAGAAGGAACGAAACUGACGGUACUUUCAGAAGAAGGUGCGGCCAACUACGUGCCAGCAGCCGCGGUGACACGUAGGCACCAAGCGUUGUCCGGAUUUAUUGGGCGUAAAGCGUGCGCAGGCGGCCGCGCAAGUCAGGUGUGAAAUCCCCGGGCUUAACCUGGGAAUUGCGCUUGAAACUAUGCGGCUUGAGUGUGGCAGAGGGGGGUGGAAUUCCACGUGUAGCAGUGAAAUGCGUAGAGAUGUGGAGGAACACCGAUGGCGAAGGCAGCCCCCUGGGCCAACACUGACGCUCAGGCACGAAAGCGUGGGGAGCAAACAGGAUUAGAUACCCCAGUAGUCCCUGAGCGGGCUGGCAAGGCGCAU